GGUUCGCGCCAAUCUAGGGUAGCCCAAGAUCGCAGCAAACCGAGGGUCAGGUUGGCUUCGCCCCACCCGCGGACAUGGCUGUCGAGGUUCAAAACAUCAUCUUUUCGCUAGCUGCCAUCUUGCGUCCCCGCAAGUGUGUGCCUAAUCUCAGCUGGUCUGCCUGAGACCUCCUGAGCGCCAACCCUAGUCCUCCGCACGGCCCCUUUUCCGCUCUGACAAGAUGAAAGAAACUAUCAUGAACCAGGAAAAACUUGCCAAGCUGCAGGCACAAGUGUGCAUUGGUGGGAAAGGAACUGUUGGCAGAAAGAAGAAGGUGGUUUAUAGAACAGCUACAGCAGAUGAUAAGAAACUUCAGUUCUCCUUAAAGAAGUUAGGAGUAAACAAUAUCUCUGGUAUUGAAGAAGUGAAUAUGUUUCCAAACCAGGGAACAGCGAUCCACUUUAACAACCCAAAGUUCAGGCAUCUCUGGCAGCGAAUACUUUCACCGUUACGGGCCGUGCUGAGACAAAGCAGUUGAUGGAAAUGCUCCCCAGCAUCUUAAACCAGCUCGGGGCAGAUGGUCUGACUAGUCUAAGGAGACCGGCUGAAGCUCUGCCCAGACACUGUGGAUGGAGAAGCACCACUUGCUGCUGGAGAGGAGGAGGAGGAAGUUCCAGAUCUCGUGGAGAAUUUUGAUGAGGCUUCCAAGAAUGAGGCACACGGAACUGAGUCAACUUCUGAAAGGGAUAAACUUGACGAAGUUCCUGGGAGCUGCUAUUUUAUAUUAUGAUUGCUUUUUAAAAUUCUGUUUUGUGUAUGGAUCUGAUAAAAUCGAGAUCUCUAAUAUUUUAAGCCUAAGCUCCUUGGACACUGCAGCUCUUUUCAGUUUUUGCUUAUACGCCGUUCAUUCUUUGCAGCUAAUUAAGCUGAAGAAGCCUGGGAAUAAAGUUUGGAACAAAGGUUAA